rnacentral:rRNA from 1 species
CCUACGGGGGGCUGCAGUGGGGAAUAUUGGACAAUGGGGGAAACCCUGAUCCAGCGAUGCCGCGUGAGUGAAGAAGGCCUUCGGGUUGUAAAACUCUUUCACCUGUGAAGCGGUAGCAGGAGAAGAAGCACCGGCAAACUCUGUGCCAGCAGCCGCGGUAAGACAGAGGGUGCUAGCGUUGUUCGGAAUGACUGGGCGUAAAGGGCGCGUAGGCGGUUUUUCAAGUCAGAUGUGAAAGCCCCGGGCUUAACCUGGGAACUGCAUUUGAUACUGGAAGACUGGAGUACGAGAGAGGAAAGCGGAAUUCCUAGUGUAGAGGUGAAAUUCGUAGAUAUUAGGAGGAACACCAGAGGCGAAGGCGGCUUUCUGGUCUAACUGACGCUGAGGCGCGAAAGCGUGGGGAGCAAACAGGAUUAGAUACCCUUGUAGUC